rfam:Altererythrobacter dongtanensis strain KCTC 22672, complete genome.
GCGGGACUGCCCGGCACGAGCCACAUCAAAAUCCCCGGGGCUAUAAGCAAUCCAAGGGAGCUGUCCCUGCCUUGGCGACCGGGUUCGUCCCGGGGACCGAGGUACAUGGCUCCCACCUGACGUUGAGGCGUCGGAGGAUUUCGGGGCAAACGACCCAUGGUGGUUCCGCC